UGGGGAAUAUUGCGCAAUGGGGGAAACCCUGACGCAGCAACGCCGCGUGAAGGAUGAAGGUUUUCGGAUUGUAAACUUCUUUGAUGGGGGACGAAUAAAUGACGGUACCCCAAAAACAAGCCACGGCUAACUACGUGCCAGCAGCCGCGGUAAUACGUAGGUGGCGAGCGUUGUCCGGAAUUACUGGGUGUAAAGGGCGUGUAGGCGGGAUUGUAAGUCAGAUGUGAAAUUCCAGAGCUUAACUCUGGCGCUGCAUCUGAAACUGCGAUUCUUGAGUGCUGGAGAGGAUAGUGGAAUUCCUAGUGUAGCGGUGAAAUGCGUAGAUAUUAGGAGGAACACCAGUGGCGAAGGCGGCUAUCUGGACAGUAACUGACGCUGAGGCGCGAAAGCGUGGGGAGCAAACA
rnacentral:rRNA from 1 species